GACGAACGCUGGCGGCGUGCUUAACACAUGCAAGUCGAACGGAAAGGCCCUGCUUGCCGGGUACUCGAGUGGCGAACGGGUGAGUAACACGUGGGUGAUCUGCCCUGUACUUCGGGAUAAGCCUGGGAAACUGGGUCUAAUACCGGAUAGGAGCCAUUUUUAGUGUGAUGGUUGGAAAGUUUUUUCGGUGUAGGAUGAGCUCGCGGCCUAUCAGCUUGUUGGUGGGGUAAUGGCCUACCAAGGCGGCGACGGGUAGCCGGCCUGAGAGGGUGGACGGCCACAAUGGGACUGAGGUACGGCCCAAACUCCUACGGGAGGCAGCAGGGGGGAAUAUUGCACAAUGGGCGCAAGCCGGAUGCAGCGACGCCGCGGGGGGGAAGACGGCCUUCGGGUUGUAAACUCCUUUCGCUAGGGACGAAGCUUUUUGUGACGGUACCUAGAUAAGAAGCACCGGCUAACUACGUG
rnacentral:rRNA from 1 species